rnacentral:misc_RNA from 1 species
UAAAAUCUGUUCCUCCAACUGACCACUCGAGUAAGAUAAGCAGAGCGCCAGAUUAGCCAGCUGAUGAAUCCAGCAAGUGAUAAACCUUUUGCAUCCUUGGACUGACGCAAAUCAACCAGUGCCUUGUAACGCCCUACAGAUGCCAUGCUACCCAUAUGCCUGUAUACAAAAGGGUCACCUAGAUGGACAUCUUUUGCACUGAAAGCUUUGCCUCCGUUUUGCUUUCCAAUCUUGUUAAACAACUCCACUAGAUAUUUCCCUUGCCUUUCUGCAAC